rnacentral:sRNA from 1 species
AUUGAAAAAACGUACAAGGAAGGCCUUUGGAAUACGGAAGAAAGAAAAGGACACUGAUUCUACAGGUUCACCAGAUAGAGAUGGAAUUCAACCCAGCCCACACGAACCACCCUACAAUAGCAAAGCAGAGUGUGCGCGUGAAGGAGGAAAAAAAGUUUCGAAGAAAAGCAAUGGAGCACCAAAUGGAUUUUAUGCAGAAAUUGAUUGGGAAAGAUAUAACUCACCUGAGCUGGAUGAAGAAGGCUACAGCAUCAGACCCGAAGAACCCGGCUCUACCAAAGGAAAGCACUUUUAUUCUUCGAGUGAAUCGGAAGAAGAAGAAGAAUCACAUAAGAAAUUUAAUAUCAAGAUUAAACCAUUGCAAUCUAAAGACAUUCUUAAGAAUGCUGCAACUGUAGACGAAUUGAAGGCAUCAAUAGGCAACAUCGCACUUUCCCCAUCACCAGUGGUGAGUGUUGUGUGUGUGGGUGUUAAGCUUUAGUGAGACUGAACAAAGCUAUGUUCUGCCUAUAUGCAUUAAGUCGAUCAGAAACUCCUUAAAUUGAAGCCUGCAUAUGGUCACCAUAUCAUGAAUUCUAUAAAUCUUAAGAAGCUCAUUCUAGCUUGAGAAAAUUGUACUUAUUUUAUAUUGCAGUCCUUAUGCUUUUCAAAAAGGUGAAAAAUAUAUGGAACCACAUUUUCUUUUGACUUAUUUUCCUGCAAGCAUUUUAAAAAGAAAAAAAAAUAAAAAGAUUAUUCAGAC